rnacentral:rRNA from 1 species
AGCAGCCGCGGUAAUUCCAGCUCCAAUAGCGUAUAUUAAAGUUGCUGCAGUUAAAAAGCUCGUAGUUGAAUUUCGGGACCAUCAUGUCGGUCGCGCCUCGGUACGUACUGGCAUUGUUGGUUUCUACCUUCUGACGAACCAUGAUGUCAUUAAUUUGGUGUUAUGGGAAAUCAGGACUGUUACUUUGAAAAAAUUGAGUGUUUAAAGCAGGCAUUAGCUUGAAUACAUUAGCAUGGAAUAAUGAAAUAGGACGUUCGAACCUAUUUUGUUGGUUUUUAGGAUCAACGUAAUGAUUAAUAGGGAUAGUUGGAG